CGUGUAGGCUGUUGAGUAAGUCAGAUGUGAAAGCCCUAGGCUCAACCUGGGAAGUGCAUUUGAAACUGCUCAGCUAGAGUAGGGGAGAGGAAAGUGGAAUUCCUGGUGUAGAGGUGAAAUUCGUAGAUAUCAGGAGGAACACCGGUGGCGAAGGCGGCUUUCUGGCCCUUAACUGACGCUGAGACGCGAAAGCGUGGGGAGCAAACAGGAUUAGAUACCCUGGUAGUCC
rnacentral:rRNA from 1 species